rnacentral:lncRNA from 10 species
CUUUGGGUCCACGCUGCUUUUAUGAGCGGUAACACUCACUGCGAAGGUCUGCAGCUUGACUCCUGAGCCAGCGAGACCACGAACCCACCAGAAGGAAGAAACUCCGAACACAUCUGAACAUCAGAAGGGACAGACUCCAGAUGCGCCACCUUAAGAGCUGUAACACUCACCGCGAGGGUCCGCGGCUUCAUUCUUGAAGUCAGUGAGACCAAUAACCCACCAAUUCCGGACAUAAUUCUGUAAUCCCAAGCCAUCUCUAAGUAUGUUCAUUCUGGAGUCCAGACAUUCUGAAAACCAAAUGGAAGAAAAGGAGCCAAGGUGACUAAGAAGGAUCAGCCAGAAAGGAAUGAGGAAAAGCAGGAGUGCCCAGAACCUCAAAAGCUGAGAGAAAGUGAACUUCAAAGAACAGAAGUGCAUCUGGGUAGAUAUCCUAAAGACUUGAAAUCAGUAUGUGGAAGAGGCAUCUGCAUUGCUAUGUUCAUUGCAGCAUUAUUCACAAUAACCCAGAUGUUGAAUCAACCUAAGUGUCUAUCCAUAGAUGAAUGAAUGAAGGAAAUAUGAUCUGUAUACAUAAUGAAAUACUAUUCAGCCAUAAAAAAGAGUGAAAUCCUGUCAGUUGCAUCAUGGAACUGAAGGACAUAAUGGAAUACUAUUUAGCCUGAAAACAGAAUUCAUACUCCAAGCCCCACAAUACGCAAUAUACCUUUGUAACAAGCCUGUACAUGUACCCCUGAUUCUAAAAUAAAACCUGAAUAAGAAGAAGAAAAUCCUGUCAUUUUUUGACAACAUGACUAAAUGGCUGAACCUGGAGGACAUUUUGAUAAGUGAAAUAAGCGAAUCACAGAAAGACAAAAGCCAUGUUUUCACUUAUACGUGGAAUUUGAAACAAACUCAUAAUAGCAG